rnacentral:antisense_RNA from 1 species
CUUUAUGGCGGCUGUGUUUGGGACGUCUUCGGGCGUACCGGGUAAGCGUGUGAUCUCACCGGUUGACCAACCUGAACACAGUCGCCUCCCAU